rnacentral:rRNA from 1 species
UACGUAGGGGUCAAGCGUUUUCCGGAUUUAUUGGGCGUAAAGAGCGUGUAGGCGGCCAAACAGGUCAGCUGUGAAAACUCGAGGCUCAACCUCGAGACGUCGGUUGAAACCGUUUGGCUAGAGUCCGGAAGAGGAGAGUGGAAUUCCCGGUGUAGCGGUGAAAUGCGCAGAUAUCGGGAAGAACACCCGUGGCGAAGGCGGCUCUCUGGGACGGUACUGACGCUGAGACGCGAAAGCGUGGGGAGCGAACAGG